ensembl:lncRNA
CAGUUACCUGCCCAGGAGAUAUCAGUCACCUCCCCAGGAGAUAUCAGUCAGCUGCCCCUGGUGUUAUAGGGACAGGAGCUCCACGGCAUCCAUUGGUCUACACCGCACCAUGUGCCACGUCAACUCAUAUUAAUUUCACCUCAACUCCUUAAUCACUUUUUUUAGACUUGAACGCAGGGUUACAGUUGUGACCUUCGAAGAAUAUUUACGAUAAUUCAAUUCAAUUUUAUUUAUAUAGCGCCAUAACAAUACAAUUGUCUCUAGGCGCUUUACAGAGCGAUAAGUAUUUUCAAAAGUAAAUUGAACAAAACCAUUAAUUAGUAAACAAAUUCAUUGAUUGAUGGUCAUGGUACCUAAUGACCCCCUACAGUCGACUGGUUAAGGUCAGUGGCCAUGGAGGUUUUCUGGCGUUAGAUGGCACUAAUAGUGUGUUACUGCGAUGGUGGAUUCUGGGAGGUGUAGUCCAAUAGAGUGUUACUGCCAUGGUGGAUUCUGGGAGGUGUAGUCCACAGAGUGUUACUGCGAUGGUGGAUUCUGGGAGGUGUAGUCCACAGAGUGUUACUGCGAUGGUGGAUUCUGGGAGGUGUAGUCCACAGAGUGUUACUGCGAUGGUGGAUUCUGACGUUAGAUGGCACUAAUAGGUAACACUAAAAAGUUACUGCUAUGGUGGUUCUGCUUGCUGAUUGGUUGAGGCUGUGCAUGUAUCUUUUCUUUUCUUCUGCCGUUUUCACUCCGCUCCACCCACUCAGAUCCAGCCCCGCCCACUAUGAUCCAGCCCCGCCCACCAUAUCUGGCUCCACCCACACAACCCCGCCCAUCCAUAUCUUGCUCCACCCACUCGGCUCCAGCUCCGCCCCCCAGCUCUAGCUCCACCCACUCGGCUAUGGGCCUGCAGAUUCCCCACAUUUUCUGCUGUUUUUGUAAAGAAUAUUUUCCUCUUUUUUUUUAAUCAAAUAAAGGAAAUGUGAACCCAUGGUGUUGUCCGCUGGUGGUCUUUGGGAGGUGUAGUCCAGUGGUUCUCAAACUUUUUGUCCGGGGACCCCAUAAAAUCCAUUUGCCAAGUCUCGCGACCCCCCACACAUUUUGACAGGAUAUCAUAGGUCUAAAUUCAGUUUCAUCUUGAAUGAUGAGACUGCUUGCUGAGACAAUAUUAGUUUUCAUUAUCCACCCUGAUGUAGAAAACACCAUUUCUGAUAGACUAUACAGCAAGUCAAAGCCUAAUAUGUUGAUGCACAGGGCAGCA